rnacentral:lncRNA from 1 species
CACUCAGGAUGGAGUUCAGUGGUCCAAUCAUGGCUCAUUGUAGCCUCAAACUCCCAGGCUCAAGCAGUCCUACCAUGUCAGCCUUCCCAGUAGCUGGGACUACAGGCUGGAGUACAGUGGCACAACCUCUGCUCACUGCAGCCUCCACCUGCCAGGCUCAAGCAAUUCUCCUGCCUCAGCCUCCCGAGUAGCUGGGAUUACAGAUGGACAGUCUAGUUGCAGGAAAACAAGCUCAGAGAUCCCACUGAGUCUACGUUAUACUGGAUCUACCAUGAACGACUUCUGAAUCCAGGAAGAGAGACUGACUGGGCAACAUGUUAUUCAG